rnacentral:misc_RNA from 1 species
AACAACACUAGCUAACGAUAUCGUCGCACGUGGUAAGGAAAAAAAAGUCAACAAAGACAAACUGCCUGCGAGUAUAUUCUAAAUAUAUACAAACCAUUCGAUCUGGCCUUACUCGGCGUCGAUUACUAUGAAAAAAUGUAAACUUUAGAAAUUGACGACUUAAGAGCUAGAAUUGAUUACAAUAUCGCAUAAUCCAGAACAUUUUUUCCUUCCAUUGACGUAUAUAUGUAAUACACGAUAUUCGAAUUUAUAUAAAAUCAAGAAAUACUAGAUAUAACGUUUAAAAUAGUAAAAAUAUAAAUGCUUUUAAUUUGUUUUGUACCCCGGCAUAUCUUUUAAAUCUAAGAUCAGAAAGUACCAAGAACUUAAUCUCUAACCGUUACGUUAUCGUAAAACGCAAAAAUAGCCCCGAAGCCGAGGAGAAAUGAAACUACAUUAUGCAUAGCGCACCAUUUUGCUUGCUGCAUUCUCGGGAUGAUAAUGGCAUCGUUUGAAGUGUUCGCGUAAUUAAUGAAGCUAAAAACUUUUGACCCUUAAUUACGCUGUCCAUUGUAUUUCGAGAGUUCUUUCUUUCUCCGGACUACUAUGAGAAUGCGAAUAAAGAAUACGGACCAUAUUGCAAUCAACGAAUGUCUCAAGGAAUAAAUUAUAUACACGCGAUCAUUGUU